AUCAUAGGACUGUACCACUACUAUGACAGAGCAUAUUACAACCUGACUGAGGACAGGGACCAGUUACAGGCCAGUUACAACAAUAUGAUUGCAAAGAGGGACCCGUUACAGACCAGUUACAACAAUCUGAUUGCAGAGAGGGAUCAGUUACAGGCCAGUUACAACAAUCUGAUUGCAGAAAGGGACCAGUUACAGGCCAGUUACAACAAUCUGAUUGCAGAGAGAGACCAGUUACUGCUGCUUCAGAAUUUGAUUUGUGAGAGAAGCGGUUGUCCUGAUGGAUGGAGGAAGUUUGACUGCAGCUGUUACUUCCUCUCCAGUGAGUCUAA